UGUCAUCACAAACACUUCAAUAAACAUUGAAAUGUUUUAGAAUUGCUUCAGUUUUGUAAUGUUUUGUGCUUUAGAUGCGCGCUGCUCGACAGCUCCUGGAAAGAAUGCAGUCUCAUGGCAUUGAUGCCCGUCUGGAGGCUUUGAAGGAACUGGCGAAACUCUCAGCUGACCCGACGUUUGCCACUGAAUUCAUUAACAUGGAAGGCCUGGGAACACUGGCACGACUGGUGGAGAGCGGCACACAUUUUGGAGAGACGUUGGCCUUUACUCUCACUGCAUUUCUCGAGCUGAUGGAUCAUGGCAUUGUAUCCUGGGAUCUCGUAUCUGUUUCCUUCAUCAAGCAGGCAGGUUACACAUCCAUAUCUGUCUCUCUUCACAAACAGCCUUCUUAUGUUGACAGAAAGAUUGUGAAGGCAGUCAAAUAAAGUGAUUUGAUGCUUAUGAUGUUCCACAUCAAAAAUUGUUAAAAAAGUUUCUAAUUUCUUUUUUGUUUGUUUUUGUUAGUGCUGUAUAUACACUAUGUAGGGACUUCAAUGAGGAACAGUAUUAUUUAAACACUAUUCUUCACCAAAUUUGUAAGAAUUAUCAUGAGCUUUGAUCACAAUUAUAAGUAAUAUAUUCUCCACCACCCUUUGUAAGGGAAACAAAUAUCAGCCCAAAUUGGGAUGAAUUCAAUUGAUUAUGAUCAAUUAUACUUAUCUGGAUCAAAUUCAUGAUUUGGGGAAAUCACUUAGCAUUACGAGCAGGUAGCAAGAAUCUGCAUGUUUAGGGACUCCGGAUUAUCAGAAUCAGAAAAAGCUUUAUUGCCAAGUGUGUUUGCACAUACAAGGAAUUUGUUUUGGUGACAGGAGCAUCCAGUACACAGAGACCAUAACCCAAUAGAAUACAGUACACAGAUGAUUUAAAUAAGGGCCUAUGGGUAUAAAAAAAUGAAGAAAUACAAUACAAUAAACAUAAGAUAAAGAUAUAGAGAGUAAAGCUAUGUGUGUAUGUAAAUAUGUACAAGUAAAAAAUAAGAAUAGACUAUUGUAGUACAAGGUAUGUGCUAUAUACAGCAGAAUGAAAUAUAAUUUACAGAACAAGUUGUAUAAAACAUAGAUAGUGUAUUAUCUGGAGCAUGAGCAUGAACUACAAACAACGUCACGUGUAGGGCUGGGCGGAAUGACGGAAUAUUCCGUUACCGCGGAAUAAAAUGUCAACCGUAAGAGAUUUUUCUAUUCCGCAUAUUCCGCGGAAUGUAAAUAAGUAGGUGUGGUUAACUCGGCGCUCUGCAAAUAAGGCGCUAUUCUGAAAAAAACUAAUGAAUUAAUCCACCCGUAACAAAUGAAUGUAUCAAACAUUCUUUUGACCUUCUUUCAGUCUGUAGUUUGGUGAUCCGCUCCAGUCUGGUGCUUCUCUCACCCGCAGUGCUCGUGCAGGGAUCUGUGCCAGCAUUUAAAAAAGCUCAUUCUCAACACGUAUUUCAAGUCAGGUUGUUUUGUAAAGCUGUUAAUAGUUUUAUAAAGUUUAACUUCAGGCGAGCCAAGGUGUUUCACAAUCGGGUGUGGCGGAAGAACCCAAUUGCAGGCAGGCAGAGGUGAAGGGGGUUAACAUAGAAUUUAUUUAAAAUAAAGAAACAAAAACACCCACGAUGGGGAAAAUAGAACUAAGAGUAUAUAUAUAAAAGGAUAAACACAACAACUUCCCUCAAGGGGGCAAAAACGAGAACUAAAUAAUAAACAAACUAACAGGCAUAACACGGCAGAAACAACACGAGAAACUCAUAGUGCAGCAAGACAGGGAACGUUGACCAUAUACAAUACACGGGCACAGGACAAAGAAACAUGAGGGUAUUUUAAAGGCAAGACAAACGAGGGAUAAUGACACAGGGCAGGUGGGAAACAUCAGACACGGCAGGGAAGCAAUACAUGAAACGAGAGGGGCGGGGCCAAUGACAAGACACGAGAAAGCACAUGAGAUGUCAAAACAUAAACAACUCAUGGCUUUCUCACAUAAAACCUAAGGGCUCCGUCCCGAUCCUGCCACAUGACUAGAAAUACAAAAACAAGAAGGCAGGACCGUGACAGAGCCCCCCCCCCCCCUAAUGAACACCCCCAGGUGUUCACCAAGGGGUUGACAAACAAGACAUGACAGACUGGGACAUAGACAAGAACCAAAUACACAUAGACAACAUGACAAAAUGACAGCGGGGUUGGGGUGAG